rnacentral:rRNA from 1 species
ACGCUCGACACCUACGGGAGGCAGCAGUGGGGAAUAUUGCACAAUGGAGGAAACUCUGAUGCAGCGAUGCCGCGUGAGGGAAGAAGGUUUUCGGAUUGUAAACCUCUGUCUUUGGGGACGAUAAUGACGGUACCCAAGGAGGAAGCUCCGGCUAACUACGUGCCAGCAGCCACGGUAAUCUGAGCGGGCUGGCAAGGC